rnacentral:rRNA from 1 species
AACCAGACUCCUACGGGAGGCAGCAGUGGGGAAUAUUGCACAGUGGGGGAAACCCUGAUGCAGCGACGCCGCGUGAGCGAUGAAGUAUUUCGGUAUGUAAAGCUCUAUCAGCAGGGAAGAAAAUGACGGUACCUGACUAAGAAGCCCCGGCUAACUACGUGCCAGCAGCCGCGGUAAUACGUAGGGGGCAAGCGUUAUCCGGAUUUACUGGGUGUAAAGGGAGCGUAGACGGCUGUGCAAGCCAGAUGUGAAAGCCCGGGGCUCAACCCCGGGACUGCAUUUGGAACUGUGUGGCUGGAGUGUCGGAGAGGCAGGCGGAAUUCCUAGGGUAGCGGUGAAAUGCGUAGAUAUUAGGAGGAACACCAGUGGCGAAGGCGGACUGCUGGACGAUGACUGACGUUGAGGCUCGAAAGCGUGGGGAGCAAACAGGAUUAGAUACCCCCGUAA